GAUGAACGCUGGCGGCGUGCCUAAUACAUGCAAGUCGAGCGAACAGACGAGGAGCUUGCUCCUCUGACGUUAGCGGCGGACGGGUGAGUAACACGUGGAUAACCUACCUAUAAGACUGGGAUAACUUCGGGAAACCGGAGCUAAUACCGGAUAAUAUAUUGAACCGCAUGGUUCAAUAGUGAAAGACGGUUUUGCUGUCACUUAUAGAUGGAUCCGCGCCGCAUUAGCUAGUUGGUAAGGUAACGGCUUACCAAGGCAACGAUGCGUAGCCGACCUGAGAGGGUGAUCGGCCACACUGGAACUGAGACACGGUCCAGACUCCUACGGGAGGCAGCAGUAGGGAAUCUUCCGCAAUGGGCGAAAGCCUGGCGGAGCAACGCCGCGUGAGUGAUGAAGGUCUUCGGAUCGUAAAACUCUGUUAUUAGGGAAGAACAAAUGUGUAAGUAACCAUGCACGUCUUGACGGUACCUAAUCAGAAAGCCACGGCUAACUACGUG
rnacentral:rRNA from 1 species